rnacentral:rRNA from 1 species
AGGGCACCACCAGGAGUGGAGCCUGCGGCUUAAUUUGACUCAACACGGGAAAACUCACCCGGCCCGGACACUGGAAGGAUUGACAGAUUGAGAGCUCUUUCUUGAUUCAGUGGGUGGUGGUGCAUGGCCGUUCUUAGUUGGUGGAGUGAUUUGUCUGGUUAAUUCCGAUAACGAACGAGACUCUAGCCUACGAAAUAGAUCGUCGGCUUACAAACGCCGGCGAGACUUCUUAGAGGGACAGGCGGUGAUUCAACCGCACGAAACAGAGCAAUAACAGGUCUGUGAUGCCCUUAGAUGCCCGGGGCCGCACGCGCGCUACGCUGAAGUGAUCAGCGUGCUUUUUCAAUCUACUCUGUCAAGAGUGGGGAACCCAAUGAACCUUCUUCGUGAUUGGGAUAGGGGAUUGUAAUUAUUCCCCUUGAACGAGGAAUUCCCAGUAAGCGCGAGUCAUAAGCUCGCGUUGAUUACGUCCCUGCCCUUUGUACACACCGCCCGUCGCUACUACCGAUUGAAUGUUUU